rnacentral:rRNA from 3 species
GAUGUGGAAACGCCUUGCUCCAUCCCGAACCAAGAAGCUAAGCACAUCGUGGGUGAUGAUACUACGCCUUACUGGCAGGGGGAAAGUAGCUCAUUGCGGACU